ACACGACUACAUUAGAUACCCGCGUAGUCCCAGCCCUAAACGAUGCGCGUUAGGUGUAUCGGUGACCACGAGUCACCGAGGUGCCGAAGGGAAACCGUGAAACGUGCCGCCGUGGGAAGUACGGUCGCAAGGCUAGAAACUUAAAGGAAUUGGCGGGGAGCACCACAACGGGUGGAGCCUGCGGUUUAAUUGGACUCAACGCCGGGAAGCUCACCGGAUAAGACAGCGGAAUGAUUGCCGGGCUGAAGACCCUGCAUGACCAGCUG
rnacentral:rRNA from 1 species